rnacentral:misc_RNA from 1 species
GAUGAAGAACGUAGCGAAAUGCGAUACUUGGUGUGAAUUGCAGAAUCCCGUGAACCAUCGAGUCUUUGAACGCAAGUUGCGCCCGAAGCCAUUAGGCCGAGGUCACGCCUGCCUGGGCGUCACACGUCGUUGCCCCCCCAUCUACUCCUUCGGGAUUGCGGGGGGCGGAUGAUGGCCUCCCGUGCGCCUCGUCGCGCGGUUGGCAUAAAUGCCAAGUCCUCGGCGACGCACGCCACGACAAUCGGUGGUUGCGAAACCUCGGUUGCCCGUCGUGUGCGGUCAUCGCGCAUCGAGGGCUCGAAAAAAUUGCCGGGCUCCGGCUCGGCUUUCAACGCGACCCCAGGUCAGGCGGGGUUACCCGCUGAAUUUAAGCAUAUCAAUAAGCGGAGGA